CCAGGUAUGGUUCCAGAACAGGCGUGCCAAGUCUCGGCGUCAGAGUGGGAAAUCCUUCCAACCUUUGGCUAGGCCGGAGAUUAUCCUCAACCACUGUGCUCCUGGAACUGAAACGAAAUGUCUGAAGCCCCAGCUGCCUCUUGAGACAUUGGUUCAAAGCUGGACUCAUGGGAGGAACACAUCUUUUCUGCUUUUGGUAACUUUUGAGGAUUCUGGGAGAAUUCGGGAUACGCUCUGAGGAGCCAUGACUCACAGCCUGGGAGAGACACAUCAGCAUACUGUCCUGACUUCCAUGUUAAGGACAUGUCCUUGUUAACCUUGAUGAUGGUUUUGACAGCACCUCUCACAUUUGAAGGUACCCCGCCACUUUGUCAAUGACACUUUAAGCCCACACUCCCACCCCAGAGUUCCGGCAUUCGCUUUUACCUGUAUUCUCUCCAAGCCUGCACAUUCCAUUGGUCUGUAUCCCUAUGCCUUCUUGCCAGGCCUGUUUUUAGUUUUUGGACUGGUUGUUCAGAACUCAUUAUUUUCUUCACAAGAAUGCCUCAGCUUGACUCAGUUUCCCCUUGUGCUUGACAGCUGCCAUUUUCUCCUGGUCCCUCCAAGGCUUAUAAUCUUAAACUCACUCUACCCCGUCUCUUCAACCCUCAUCCUAGGUUUAUUACUUUUUAAAACUGGGCCUGUCAUCUUCACGUUCAAUCAUAGCUCCAAUGACUCUGCAUGCAGAUUAUUUCGACAGCCCCCUUGCCUCUAGCUUCUCAACUACUUAAAAAAAAUUAC
rnacentral:sRNA from 1 species